AAUCCGGUUGAUCCUGCCGGACCUGACUGCUAUCGGAUUGAUACUAAGCCAUGCGAGUCAUUGUAGUAAUACAAGGCAGACGGCUCAGUAACGCGUAGUCAACCUAACCUAUGGACGGGAAUAACCUCGGGAAACUGAGAAUAAUGCCCGAUAGAACACUAUAUCUGGAAUGGUUUGUGUUCCAAAUGAUUUAUCGCCGUAGGAUGGGACUGCGGCCUAUCAGUUUGUUGGUGAGGUAAUGGCCCACCAAGACUAUUACAGGUACGGGCUCUGAGAGGAGUAGCCCGGAGAUGGGUACUGAGACACGGACCCAGGCCCUAUGGGGCGCAGCAGGCGAGAAAACUUUGCAAUGUGCGAAAGCACGACAAGGUUAAUCCGAGUGGUUUCUGCUAAAGGAACCUUUUGUUAGUCCUAGAAACACUAACGUAUAAGGGGUGGGCAAGUUCUGGUGUCAGCCGCCGCGGUAAAACCAGCACCUCAAGUGGUCAGGAUGAUUAUU
rnacentral:rRNA from 1 species